rnacentral:lncRNA from 1 species
GUUUUCCUGGAGCAGGCCUUGACCAAGGACAAAGAAAGUCUUCGGCCCUGAACCUUGAUGAGCUAUGGAUGGCACCAAGAGUCUCUCUGACAGAGCUGGGGAAGUGGAGACCAGGAAUGAGGCUGAGGAGAUCCUAGCCCAGGCUGAGCGGACCCAAGCCCAGGCUGAGUUGGCCCGAGCCCAAGCUGAGAAGAUCCUAGUCCAGGCUGAGGUUAUCCGAGCCCAGGCUGAGUUGACACAAGCCCAGAAUGAGUUGACCCAAGCCCAUGCUGAGAAGAUCCUAGUCAAAGCUGAGGAAGUCCUAGCCCAGGCUAAGGAGAUCCUAGCCCAGGGUCAGUUGACCAAAGCCCUGGCUGAGGAGGUCCUAGACCAGGCUGAAGAUGUCCUAGACCAGGCUGAAGAAGUCAUAGCCCAGGCCGUGUUGACCCAAGCUAAGGAUCAAAACCAAAACCAGAUGGAAGAGAGCCAAACCAAAGAGAGUCAAGCUGUGAGAGAACACAGCAAAGCUAAAGAUCAGAGCCAAGACAAGACCAAAGAUAGCCAAGAUGAGGCCAAGGGAGAUUGGGACAAACAGAAGAGCCAAGAUCAGCCCAAAGCUCUAAAAUGGAUUUGGUGCAAAAUCCAGCAUUUCUUUAAGAAGUUGAAGGAAAUUUUUAAAUGCCUUUGUUAAGUUUGUUAUGCCGAAAAGACAGUGAAGGAAAAUUUUAAUGCCUUUGUUAUUUAUGCCAAGCCGGCCACUACUUUGUUUUAUAGGAAUUCCUGAAAAACUUAUUCAUCUGAAACAUGUCCAAGUAGGUGUAGGUAACAGUGCGAGCCUGCCCUUUUCUAAUGUCUUGUAGAGAAUGUUCUCAAGUCCCUUCCAUUUUCUCUAUUGGAGCUACUCUGUGUAGCUUGCUCCCCUGUAUGUCUAUUCUGUUGCUCUUGUCCUAGGCUCCCUAAUAAAAGUUGCUUUAAAGGAAGCA